CUGCAUAAACUGCAAACAGGAAAGAAGAUUUUAGAUAGUUUGGUUUCCAUUUUAAAGGAGGCAUAUGAGAGAGAAAAAAAGAAAAAGCAAAAGUAAAAUCUAACUUGAAAACUAUCUUCGACGUCGGAGUUUCGAGUGUGUUGUAAUUCUCAAGCAAAACGCAACAAGGUAUCAGAGUUGACGAUCUGCGAUGUCUGGCAACGAUGUUUCUACUCGGCUUCAAAAGGAUGUGGGGGGUCUGCAGCAGGCGGUGGCAAAGCUGUAGAAGGACGUUUCACAGUGGAGUGCAAAAUUGAAGGAUGGUUUGAAGGAAUUAAGGAUAGAGUUCAAAGGGGAACUUAAGCUGGAGUUGUGGGGCUUGAAAGAUAGGUUACGGGGGCAGAUCAAGUCUGAAAUGCAGAGUUUGUUGGAAUUGUAUUUGGGUCGACCAUUUGCUUCCGUUGUUGGUGGAUAGUCAUCUGUUCCCGUUCCUGCUGGAUAGUUGAGUGAUAAAGGGAAGGGGAUUUUAGGCGUGCUACCAACCGGGUUCUCGCCUAGGGAACCGUCUUUUAAUUCGCCUUCAAAGGACACUCCUUCCUUUUUGCCCAAUGUUGAUGUCAGUUUGAGGUCUCAUGUCAAUGAACAUUUCCCUAAGUCACACAAGUUGGAAUGUCCACGUUUUGACGGGUCCGAUUUUAAGGGUUGGUGGGCUAAACUUGAACAAUAUUUUCAGGCUGAGGGGAUCCCUUCCAAUGUUAGGGUCCGAAUGGUAAUGUUACACUUAAAGAGCAAGGCUCUCGACUGGCACCAGUUUUAUACAUAGAGGCAAGAAGGCUUCCACAUGUUGGUUUUAGGGAUAUAUGACCAGAGCCUGUGGGAGCACUUUGCAUUGAGUUAUUUUUAAGACCCCAUGUCUGACUUGUGUCAUUGAAGCAACAUGGGUCGGUGGACUAAUAUCAUGAAACUUUUGUUAGCUUGUUGAAUCAAUUGCAGCUACCCAAACCAUAUGACUUGAGCAUAUUUACCAACAACUUGAAAACUAAAAUCGGGCAAUACCUAUAGUUGUUUAAGCUGAAAACUUUGGUGGAAGGAUUUCAAGUAGCACAUCAAGUGGAGGGUAUAUUACAAAAAUCUCCUAGGAGGUUGUUCUUGACGGGGGUCCUACAACUUCAAAAUCCUCGACUUAUACAACUGUCGUUUCUCAGACUUUAAAGCCAUAAACUACCUCCACGGGGAACUCAUAGUAGUAGUAACUCUACUGGCCCGAGUGUAACUCACAAAUCAGUCAUGGCAAUAGGUUCAUCCAUGAAGUUUAAAAGAACAUUAACAAUCAUAAAGAUUGAUCAUAGGAGGAUGAAGGGAUUGUGCUUUUGGUGUGGUUCCAAAUAUAGUGUGGGCUAUAAAUGUGUUAGGUUUUAGCUAUAUUAGUUUUUAUUGGAAUCAAAAUUGGAUAGGGAAAGGGAGGAGUCCCACGAGGAUUUUGAUCAAUCGGAGGGUUCUCUAACCAAAAUGAUGGUUCAAGAUCUUAUACUUUCACUCCAUGCUAUCCAAUGGUCCCAAGGUAACCAUACGAUGAAGGUGGCAGCAUCUGUGGGAACUGCUCAUGUUUUAUUUUAGUUUACUUAGGAAGUACGCACAAUUUCAUAAGUGCAAGGUUGGUGAGAUAGCUUGCCAUAUCCUUCAGUAAAGAACAUAAAUUGAAGGUCAUGGUGGCUAAUAGGGGUAAUGUGUUCACCCAAAGGCUGAGUUUUUCAAUAGAAUUUUUUGUUCUACCAGUUAAGGGGUGUAAUAUGGUUUUGGGAGUGCAGUGGCUCCUAUCAUUGGGAAGCAUUCCUUAGGACUUCAAGGCUUUGACCAUGCAGUUAAACUAUAAAGAAAACAUAUGCUUGUUACGGGGCAUUCAGUCAGGGGCUAUACAAGUCUUGUGGGAUCGUGAGGUUGCUAGAAGUUUUUCCAUCACGGGGAAUUCUUGGGGCCCUAUACACUCUAAGUGGCUACUGCUGAUCAUGCGUCACUACAAUUGUCACCUAAACCAAUCUCUAAGGAUUUGCUUAAUCUCUUAGAGGCGUUCCAUAAGGUGUUUCAAACACCAACUGGGUUACCCCCAUCAUGCUUACAAGAUCAUUGCAUUCCACUCAAGGAUGAAUCAGCGUUAGUUAAGAUGAAACCUUAUUGCUACCCUUAACAGUUCGCCCGGUUAAUCCUCCGGGGCUCAAAUAACUCAAUUUUCUCCCAUGCACUAUUUGUGUCAAUGGAUUUGUUCGAUCCAAAACUUGAGGGAAUGGGUGUAAUUCGAAAAAGGAUUCAUAAGUGGUUGUUAAUGGAUUCGAAGUUACCAAA